UUGUAUUUUUAAACUGGAGAGACAGCUGAGAGGAUGUCGUCAUCUGUAACCGUCACUCGCCACAGUUCUCAAGCGAGAGCAAAGGCAGCGAGGGGUGGUGUGAUGUCAUUUGCAACAAGACGGCUGAUACUAAUAUGAGCCUAAAAUAAAGGACAAUAAUGGCAUCAGCCAUUCAAGUUAUGAUCCUGGCAGAUCUACUACUAUCUGAAAAGUAGUCUCUGCAGAUUGUUUCAAGAUACACAAGAUGGAGCGUGGAGAGACGGGACAUGGACCACAGUUUUUCAGCACCCACACCCCACACUCAAAUUCAUAUAGAAGUUCUCAAUUAUUAAAUGUUAAUUUCAUAGUUUAUAUUUAGCUGUGAAGUUAUAGUUCAUUAUCAUAAAUAUUAAACUACAUAUUAUUAUUAUUAUUAUUAUUAUUUUACAUGAUAUGCAAAUUUCACCAAUUUGUUUAAUGUGUUAAUUAACUUUUUGAAAGUGAUUAUCUUUAAUAAUUCAGAUACCUGUUGAAAUGCACAUGUAAUUAUAUACUUGCUCGUAUCUGGAAGGUUGUGUUAAUAAAAAUGAUGUUGAAAGCGAAUGUUGCAAUACUGCUAAUCUUAAAAUAACAUUUUAUUAAACUAAACUUUGUAAUGUUCCAAAUAAAUGUUUUUAGGGUGUUGUAUUUUUAAGAAAAUGUAGGUGGAAAUAAAGUUGUAGGAACAUUAUGCUAACCAUAAAAUAAUGUUCUAGCAACGUUAGGCAAACUGGACAUUUUGACGUUCUUGGAAUGUUCCAAAUAAACGUUAAUAGAACAUUAUAUUUUUAAUGAAAAUUAGGUUGCAAGAACAUUGCAGGAAAGUUAUGCUAACCAUAAAAUAACGUUCUAGCAACGUUAAGCAAACUGGACAUUUUAACAUUUUUGGAAUGUUCCAAAUAAAAGUUCAUAGAACGUUAUAUUUUUAAAUUAAAUUUAGGUUGCAGGAACGUUAUGCUAACCAUAAAAUGUUCUAAGAACGUUAAGCAAA